UACGUAGGGUGCGAGCGUUAAUCGGAAUUACUGGGCGUAAAGCGUGCGCAGGCGGCUCCUUAAGUCAGAUGUGAAAGCCCCGGGCUUAACCUGGGAACUGCGUUUGAAACUGGGGAGCUAGAGUGUGGAAGAGGGGGGUGGAAUUCCAGGUGUAGCAGUGAAAUGCGUAGAGAUCUGGAGGAACACCGAUGGCGAAGGCAGCCCCCUGGGCUAACACUGACGCUCAUGCACGAAAGCGUGGGGAGCAAACAGG
rnacentral:rRNA from 1 species